AAAAAAAAUCAAAAUCUUCUGAAAUGUGGAAGCAGGGUAACCUUUUUUAUGCUUUAGGAGUCCAUCCAAAUUCUCAGUGAAUAAAAUUUUCUCAGUUUUCUGUGUGGAUGUCCAUUCUACAAAGCUAGCGUGUGACGAAAGAGUUGAGAAACUGAUAGUAGAGAAGUGUGAAAUUUACAUGAGGAAACAUCUCUUAUACCAAUUAAUGAGAGCUUAUGUUGCGCCCUUUUAUACUUAAUGUUUUGCAGAGUCUAUGAAUAUGUUUGCUUUUUUACGUAUUCUGUGGCUAUCAUAAUUCUUAUUGUUCAAUUUUGAGUGCUAAGGAAUAUGAUGUGAAUAAUUUGGGGAAUAUUUAAUGGGUGCUAGUGGCAUAUAAUUGGUAGAGCUGGAGAGCAUUUGUUCCAACUUCCACAAAAAAAAGAUCACUGUGAUGCUGCUUUUCUACAUGUAGAUGUAAUGAGAACAUCCAUAAAGGGGUCACAUUUGGAAUGCAAGUUGUUUUUUUCGGCUUUAAUAUGUUGUUUGGUUUGCUUAAUUGCUUGUACAUUUUCAUUGUGGUUUAUGGGAAUGGUAUUUCUGUGGAGGUAGGCAACUUAUGGAUGGAACACCCUGCGCCCCUUCUCCGCUAUCUGAUAAGCAAAGAGUUAUCAGUAAUGUAGAAUUGUAGAUGGUUGCCUUAGUUGGGCGAAUAUUUAUUUUUGCAGGAAGAUGUGCAGAGGAAAGGCCUACAAUGUUACAUUGGCAGAUUUUUGGUUGUUUAUGAGGCAUUUGACUUAAUUUGAGGCUUGACAUGUGUAUAAAAUGCAUACUUCACUUGUAUACAAGAAUUGUGCUCAAAUAUGUAAAAUACAAGGAUGAUGAUAGAUGUCUGUUGAGAUUUUCUGCCAUAUUCUAAGUGUGGUUUCUCAAGAUUUGUAGACAUUCAAAUGUAUGUGUAUGCAAUGUGUGCUCGUCUUUGUCUUAUAUUCUCUGUUUACACUUCCAUCUGUGAUUAUGUGUGAAAUUGUUGUAUGAUAAAGUUAAUGCCAUAACGACAUUUGCAUGCACUAGUAGUUUUCUUUCCAAAGGAGACUAAUCAUAUUUCUACUAUUUUUUUUCAGUUUCUGUUUUUUGUGGUUCAAGA
rnacentral:misc_RNA from 1 species